rnacentral:rRNA from 1 species
UACGUAGGGGGCAAGCGUUGUCCGGAUUUAUUGGGCGUAAAGAGCGUGUAGGCGGCCUGACAGGUCUGCUGUGAAAACUCGAGGCUCAACCUCGAGAUGUCGGCGGAAACCGUCUGGCUAGAGUCCGGAAGAGGAGAGUGGAAUUCCUGGUGUAGCGGUGAAAUGCGUAGAUAUCAGGAGGAACACCUGUGGCGAAAGCGGCGCACUGGACCAUAACUGACGCUGAUGCGCGAAAGCUAGGGGAGCAAACAGG